rnacentral:rRNA from 1 species
UACGUAGGCAGCGAGCGUUGUUCGGAAUUACUGGGCGUAAAGAGUGUGUAGGUGGUGCUCUAAGUUUGGUGUGAAAUCUCCCGGCUCAACCGGGAGGGUGCAUCGAAAACUGGAGUGCUAGAGGAUGGGAGAGGCAAGCGGAAUUCCAGGUGUAGCGGUGAAAUGCGCAGAUAUCAGGAAGAAUAUCCGUGGCGAAGGCGGCUCUCUGGUACGGCACUGACGCUGAGACGCGAAAGCGUGGGGAGCGAACAGG